CAGUAACAGAAACAUCUGUGAAGAAGAUUUGGCCUGUCCAGUCCCUCCAGAAUACACACAGAUCUGCUCCAGGGUAUCGUUGUGAAUCGGACAUGGCACUCCUCAAAUAGAGCAGGUCUUGUCGUAAACUAUUGUACAGCAGGGAUUAUAGGUCAUCAUCUAAUAUACUGUCCUUUCUCUUCAUGAAUAAAGAUGUCGCCAACAUGUCUAGGUUUUCCAAUGCCUCCUACCUGACUUCUUUAAAUGG